UUUUUUUUUUAAAUCUAAAUAUUUUUAAACAGUUGCCAAGCCUAAAAUCUACGAUCAUUUCACUUAUUUUUUGAUAGUAAGAAAGUAUUGUUUUCUGCAAUAAUUGGCUCUUUAAGUUGCUUGUAUCAUGGUUCUGUUAUUGUCAUAGAAGUUGCGUUCUUGCUAAUCAGCCUGGGACUUUCUUUAAAAAAAACUUUAAUUUCAGUAUUAAAACUAAAUAAAUGAAAGCAAUAUAUUCAUGUGAAUAUCUAACGUUAGAUAUUCUAGUUAUUCUGUUCACUUUUCAUUCAAGCAAAUCUCUGUUUGUGUCAGUAAGUGAUAUUACUGCCUGUUCUUCUUUACAUAUUUUACAUGGCUUUUUGGGAUAAUUCUGUAAACAGCAUUGUUGUGAGGGGAGCCAUAGUUUUUUUGCUUUUUGAUAUGCAGAUACAGUACAGUAUGCUUGAGACUGAGUGAUACAAACUUGCACACGCAACCUUCUUUCUCUCUCUAAAAUAUCAUAUUCAAAUAGUAACUUUGCCCUCUCUUGGGGUUAUUAACUACUCAUCUAUUAUCUUGGUGCCAGACCAUAGCAAAAAAAAAAAAAAUGUAAGUAAAUCAAGAUUACUACUUUUGGAAUUUGGAUCUUCUAUGCUUUUAUUGAUUAAGUAGUCAUGAACUAUAUAUCCAAAUUAUGUGAAUACAAGUGUGGAUAAUUAAGGCUCCACUUUUCCUUUCAUCCUGUUGUUUAUGUAUACUUCCGGAGUGUAAAAUAAUUACACUUUGCUUGGUUAAUAGAAAGUAGAAGAAUUAAAACCGCUUUUAUAUUCCCUAUAUGCAAAUUAUUUGCUAUACUUGAGUGUUGUUCUUCUUAAUAAAUGAAUACCAAACACACCUACAUGCUGUUUAGACCACUGUUUAAAACUCCACCUUCCAUGAUACUUUGCCAUUCUAACGGCAUGCAAAGCGUCAUCGAAGUUGUUGUUCUACAACAUCUGGCGGUCUACCUUUUGGGCACCUCUGGUAUAGACUAACAUUUUAUGAGAGCAAUGCAAGAAACCCAUCUGUUAAUGCAUACAUAAAGAAUACAGUAGUCUGCUGUAGAAUUUCUCUUAUGUUAACCUUUUUUUGUGAGAUGCUCUGUAUUCUUUAAAUUCUUUAUUGAAGAGUUCGCAAAAGACACCCUAAUUUAGUUCAGACAAGGUAAAGCGAAGGCAAACAUUGAAAAUGAAGAGGAAAAAUAAAAACAUUGUUUCAAUUCUAUUCUACUCUGUUUGUUUUCCCUAUGCUGACUUCUAGAUGCAAAGAACAAAGCUUAUAACAAUGACUGACAGAAAUUUUACAAAUGCAAAGUGACUUUAAAAUUUAAUGCCAUAGUAACCGAACUGGAAAAAAAUCCACUUUGGUAUAAAAUUUGCAGAUUCACUUUGAAUUCACAUCUAUUCUCACAUUAGUAAAUAACCUUUUCUUAUCUUUCACAUCUCACAAGUGUAGAAUCUUAAAUAUUGGAAUAAGUAAAUCUAGUACAGUGAGCUGACCGUUGCCCUUAAAGGACCACUAUAGGCACCCAGACCACUUCAGCUUAAUGAAGUGAUCUGGGUGCCAGGUCCAGAUAGGAUUAACCCUUAUGUUUAUAAUGGGGUUAAUCCAGCCUCUAGUGGCUGUCUCAUAUAGUGCCAGGAAAACAAGUAUGUUUUGCUGGCACUAUAGUGGUUCUUUAAGGCUCAAAUGUCCUUGGAGGGUGUUGAAGAAUGUUUAAGAUAAACUAUUAAAAAAAAACCUAUAAAGUAUUGUUGUUGGGAUGUGUUACAGGUCUGACUAUGCUUACCUCCAAAAUAGUGGGAAGGCUCAAGUUCUCAAUCAGGUUAAAGCAGGAGGAACUAAAAUGCACUACUCCAGAUGUCAUCUAACUACAUCUUUGAUGCUUUUCCAGCUGUUGUAGACUAACAUUUCUAAUGUUUCUUAACCAGACUGUCAAAGUGUUGUGCGAGUUGCCCUCUCAUCGAGAGGGCUACCUGUUGUCUACCACAGGCCAAUAAUGAUAACAAAGUAAUUCUCAAGAAGCGCUAAUAAAACGCAAAUGUCAUUCUGAUCAUCUUGCUGAUAAACUGUAUGUGAUCAAAAGGAUUCCAUGGAAGGGUAUAUGUGCAGUACUUAAACCUGUAUUUUCUAAUGACCUAGGGUAAAUCCACAUCUGCAGUAUAGACAAACAUUUGUCUUCAGUUUAAUUGAGUAUUAAGAAUUAUGGUUAAUUGUUGUUAACGCUCCAAAAAUCCUGUGUGUGUUGAGAUUGGCACCUAUCCUAUAAAUCAGAUAAUGGAACUUAAACAAAAAUGUUGGCCUCCAUCACAUUAAAUGCCACUACAUAUCUAUAUUAUACUACCUGCUGCUGUAAUGCACAUACAUUCAAUCAAGUCUAGCAAUCUAAUCUGUAUUUUUCCAAGGACUAUUUUGAAUAAAUUAUUAUUCAUCCUCCUAUAGCUGUUUGAGAAUCCCUGAUGCAGUGGUGCUUUAAAUGUUUCCCAUAGUUCAAAUUCAUAUGAUUUAUAUUUUGUUCUGCUCAAAAUAUUUUGUACAAAUCAUGUUGGGUCAUUAGUUAUAUUUUUAUUUGCUAAUUUCUGUUUUGUUUCCAGCAUUUACCCUUAUGCUGUCCUUAUGUGCUAUGUAACAUUGUGAGAAUGUUGAGGUGGUUUGCAACGUAUAAUAUGCUGAUGUUUAUGUAAUUCUUUGACUCUAAACUUAUGUACAUUUUUUUUUUUUAUUUAAUGAAGCCACACAUCUUACUAUGCAGAAAUUACUAUGUGUUCUUAGAUUAAGUUAAAAUAAAAAAGGAAGAGAAAUUAUAUCAAAGCUUACUGUAAGCAGCUAUGUUGCAUUUCAAGGUGCUUAGAUUAAUUUUGUUUUCAGUUCUGUUCUUCCUACCCCACAAUUUUAAAGGUUUCCUAGCAUCUGUAAAUCUGUGACCGAAUUAUAAACAAUAAUAUAACUUUUGCAAUGUUAAAAUACUGUAGAGGAAUAGCAAUUUGUUAAUGGCAUCUAUAUUUUUAAAAUAUAUCCAAAGUUUUGUCACAUUCAUCUUUUUUAUAUUGGUAAAUAAACCUGAUACAAGAUAUCUUCCUCCUGAUGUGGAAAAUCAGUUCACGUAUAGCAAAAUAUCAGAGCUCUCCUGACUUUGGGAAUUUGGCCUGAACUUGCAG